rnacentral:rRNA from 1 species
UACGUAGGGUGCAAGCGUUGUCCGGAAUUAUUGGGCGUAAAGAGCUCGUAGGCGGUUCGUCACGUCGGCUGUGAAAUCCCGAGGCUCAACCUCGGGUCUGCAGUCGAUACGGGCGGACUUGAGUACUGCAGGGAGACUGGAAUUCCUGGUGUAGCGGUGAAAUGCGCAGAUAUCAGGAGGAACACCGGUGGCGAAGGCGGGUCUCUGGGCAGUAACUGACGCUGAGGAGCGAAAGCGUGGGGAGCGAACAGG